rnacentral:lncRNA from 1 species
UUUUCUUUUACUCAAUAAUGACAGAAUCGAUUCUGUUUCAAGAUUUAUUAAUGAUCGAUACUCGUUCGAUGGAAAUAUAUAUCGAAUUCGAUCGUAAAAUCAAUCAAAAAUUCGAUAUCGAAUCACUUCAUGUCAAAGGAUGACAAGCAAAACCUAUUAUCCUUAUCGAGGGUAGCCAGCCCGUGAACGCAUGCGAAGCUCUGUGGAUGAGAAAGACAGGGAUGCUGGUGUUGAAGCACAAGGGUUGUCGUCGUCGUUGGUGGAGGAGGUGGCGGAGGUGGUGGAGGAUGAGGAAGAGAAGUGAGCCACGUCACGCCUGGCUCCGCUCUGUGUCAUUUGCCGUUCUGCUGUAGUGCUGCGUUAAUUUGUGCCCACAGUUCUUUGGUACAGGAUUGAGAUCUAGAAAUAAAAUUAUAUUUUUAGUAUCA